CAGGCCAUGAAAUUAAGUGAGGAAAGUGACCACUACCUGCCAGAGUGUGAACAUUAAUGAAGAGAGAAGAUCUGUUUAAAGGACCAUACUCUGGAAGAGAACCGCUUCUCUGAAACUGACAAAAAUGGCAAUCACCGUGACAGAUUUCCUACGUGAUCGGGGGGUUCCAGAAGAAGCACUCACACUAAUCGAGGAGCAAAAGAUCGACAGGGAUGUCAUCUUGCUUAUGGACGAUUCAGCUUUGGCUAACUACAUUCCCUCAUAUGGAGACAGAAUUGCUCUUUUUAAUUUUUGCAAAAAUCAGAAACCUGUCUCAAAGCGAAAAAUGGGCCUUUUUUAAAAGCUCAGAGAAAA